rnacentral:rRNA from 1 species
UUGACCUCGGAUCAGGUAGGGAUACCCGCUGAACUUAAGCAUAUCAAUAAGCGGAGGAAAAGAAACCAACAGGGAUUGCCCUAGUAACGGCGAGUGAAGCGGCAACAGCUCAAAUUUGAAAUCUGGCUCUUUCAGAGUCCGAGUUGUAAUUUGCAGAGGGCGCUUUGGCUUUGGCAGCGGUCCAAGUUCCUUGGAACAGGACGUCACAGAGGGUGAGAAUCCCGUACGUGGUCGCUAGCUAUUGCCGUGUAAAGCCCCUUCGACGAGUCGAGUUGUUUGGGAAUGCAGCUCUAAAUGGGAGGUAAAUUUCUUCUAAAGCUAAAUAUUGGCCAGAGACCGAUAGCGCACAAGUAGAGUGAUCGAAAGAUGAAAAGCACUUUGGAAAGAGAGUCAAACAGCACGUGAAAUUGUUGAAAGGGAAGCGCUUGCAGCCAGACUUGCUUGCAGUUGCUCAUCCGGGCUUUUGCCCGGUGCACUCUUCUGUAGGCAGGCCAGCAUCAGUUUGGGCGGUGGGAUAAAGGUCUCUGUCACGUACCUCUCUUCGGGGAGGCCUUAUAGGGGAGACGACAUACCACCAGCCUAGAC